AACGAACGCUGGCGGCAUGCCUAACACAUGCAAGUCGAGCGCCCGUAGCAAUACGGGAGCGGCGCACGGGUGAGUAACGCGUGGGAACCUGCCCAGAGGUUCGGGACAACCGCGGGAAACUGCGGCUGAUACCGGAUGAUACCUGAGGGUCAAAGAUUUAUCGCCUUUGGAGGGGCCCGCGUCGGGUUAGGUAGUUGGUGGGGUAACGGCCUACCAAGCCUGUGAUCCGUAACUGGUCUGAGAGGAUGACCAGUCACACUGGGACUGAGACACGGCCCAGACUCCUCCGGGAGGCAGCAGUGGGGAGUAUUGGACAAUGGGGGCAACCCUGAUCCAGCAAUGCCGCGUGGGUGAUGAAGGCCUUCGGGUUGUAAAGCCCUUUCGGCGGGGACGAUGAUGACGGUACCCGCAGAAGAAGCCCCGGCUAACUUCGUGCCAGCAGCCGCCGUAACAC
rnacentral:rRNA from 1 species